GUUGUCAUUUCGGCAUUUUUCAGUUUUUCGGACCGGAAGGUCUUGUGUGGGACCCGCUACCGAAAUUAUUGUGUACGGGAGUUUUGUUUGGAUCCAGUUGCACCUCAUUUUAUUUUAUUUUAUUUUAUGUGUUGUAUGUGGUUAUAAUAUAGUGUGUGCAUUUAUAAAAUUAGUGGUGGAAAUAAAAUAAAAAACAAAAUAUUUUAAUUUUGGUGGGACCCGCUUUGUUUUUAACAAAAGGGCCAAGAGGCCAAUAUUGGCGGGAAAAAAUCGUCUCUAGACACCCUCUCACUGGAGGGUGUCCAUUGCUGAUGUGGCAUGGGUGACAUGGUAGGUAUGUGCAUAAAGUAUUUACCUAGUAUGUAUCUAAUAGUCUCCUCAUACAUAUCUCUUAUUGCCUUCUCUCUUGCCGUCACCUCCACUCUAUCUACCUCUGGCCUCUCUCUAAGCCGCCUUCUUCCUCCUCCUCCUCCUCUUCAUCCUCCGCCUCCUCGUCGUCGGCGUGGCCGUGUCUACCUCCUCCUCCACGUCCAGCGCCUCCUCGUCGUCGGCGUGGCCAUGUCUACCUCCUCCGCCGUGUCCGAUGGUUCCAACGAAGCCCGCCACUGCCAAAACUCGCUGGGGAAAGGAUGAGGGCAUGGCAAAGUAGUGGCGGACAAUAAUCUACCACCGGUGUAGGCGGGUUGACGGACUUGGACUUUUUAGUGCUUAAUGUUUAUUUCACCCCUUUUUGUUGUAAAUAGUAUUAGGGUCAUUUUAUAUAUAUCACAUGGUUGGAAAUGAUUUUGAGACCAUUCAUUUGUAUUUUGUAGUCUCAUCAUGAUUUCAAUACCCAUGUAAGGCCUUAAGGCCAUAUUUUUUUUAUUUAUGACGGGUUUUGUGACACCCCCAAA